CAGGCAGCCCAUCGCAGUAAUGGCCAGCGGGACACAAAUGAAGGACUGGGUCUCCUGCAAGCAAACACAGUGAAAAACAACGAUUUUUCGGGGAAAAAGGGCAGGGCAGACAAGCAUCGGGACCGGAAGCUCCGAGCCGGCUCUGCACGGUGCCAGGGGGGCAGGGGAACAGCAGUCCCAGGACCAGCCCUGGAGGGCAGUAGAACCCAGCAGGACACAGGGCGGGCUGCACGGUGCCCUCAACUGGGUCACAAACGGAAGAGAGAAAUACAACGACCAGCGAAAUAGUAGCCAGCCGUGCAGGUGGAGCAGUUGUCUUGAUGGGCGUUGCCGGUGUCGGGGCCAUACGUUCCUGCAGGACAUGGCACAGGGACGGGCGUUCCACCGGGGCAGAAGGAGCCAGCCGGGCACAGGGCCCGAUCC